rnacentral:rRNA from 1 species
UCCAGACUCCUACGGGAGGCAGCAGUGAGGAAUAUUGGUCAAUGGCCGGAAGGCUGAACCAGCCAAGCCGCGUGAGGGAGGAAGGCGCAGAGCGUCGCAGACCUCUUUUGCCGGGGGACAAAAGGCCGGACUCGUCCGGUCCUGAGGGUACCCGGAGAAAAAGCACCGGCUAACUACGUGCCAGCAGCCGCGGUAAUACGUAGGGUGCGAGCGUUAAUCGGAAUUACUGGGCGUAAAGGGUGUGCAGGCGGCUGAGUAAGACAGAUGUGAAAUCCCCGGGCUUAACCUGGGAACCGCAUAUGUGACUGCUUGGCUAGAGUGCGUCAGAGGGAGGUGGAAUUCCACGUGUAGCAGUGAAAUGCGUAGAUAUGUGGAAGAACACCGAUGGCGAAGGCAGCCUCCUGGGACGCAACUGACGCUCAUACACGAAAGCGUGGGGAGCAAACAGGAUUAGAUACCCUGGUAUAU